AGGCAUCUGUCGAAUGUGACAACAGGAUCAAUUUAAUCGGAUUAAAUGAGUAUUUUGACGGCAUGGACCAAGGCAUGGACUAUAUUUUGGGGCCGAGGAAAUAUGGAAUCAUAAAAUUAUUGAGUUUUCGACGGACUGAAUCAUCUACGACAGGAAAAUUCGUAAUUUAAAGAGAAGCGUUUGAAUCCGUAUGAAGAAACGUUACGCUGGUUGGAUCCAAGAAAACACGAUUCUGGCAACGGGCGGUCAGACUGACAAAAAAUACCGGAAGUUGGAUACAACCAAGAUACGAUGGAUAGUUUUGGUUCAGUCAGGAGUUUUGUUGUUGUAUACGGAGGA